rnacentral:rRNA from 1 species
UCUGGUUGAUCCUGCCAGUAGUGUAUGCUUCUCCUAAAGACUAAGCCAUGCAUGCCUUCGAAUACGAGGAAGCAAUUCUCUCUGAAUCUGCGAACGGCUCCGCACACCAGUUGUAAACCAAAGCAAGCUAGUCCAUGGUCUGGCCCUCACGGGUUGGGCUGUGGACGAUACGGAUAACCCUGGUAAUUCUGAGGCUAAUACGAGACUGCAAUCCCUGGCUAACCGCAAGGAAGGCUGGGGGGCGUGUAAAGGUUUCGCGAGGAAUAACCGGGAAGGGGUACACGCUCUGACCACGACAAAGACAGUUCCGGCAAAUCCUCGGAUGAGUUGGUUCUGAGUGGCUCUUGCGAGGUGCUUCUGACCUAUCAACUAGAUGGCAGCGUAACGGACAUGCCAUGGUUACAACGGGUACAGAGGAUUAGGGUUCGAUCCUGGAGAGUGGGCCUGAGAGAUUGCUCAUACUUCUAAGGAAGGCAGCAGGCGCGCAACGUUCCCCUUGGACAAUGUCCGAGGGCGUUAGGGGACAUAUGAAUGGUUGCCUUUUAGGUGGCCAAUUCAAAUGGGUCUGUUCUAAACAGUCUCUCGAGUAACAAUUAGAGGACAAGUCUGGUGGAAAACGCAAUUAUCUUUCUCAUAAAUUCACGCCAGGUGUCUACCGUAAAAAGUAGGCAGAAAGUUGGGAUCAGCUCCAACUGUACAGAUGUAAAUUGCAGGGACGUCUGAUUAAGUCACGAAUACCGCGGUCCCGGGGAAACCUGGGAUGCAGCAGGGAGGGUAAGAGCCUCCUGGAUGGUAAUAACGUCGUGGCAGGGUCCGAGGGGUAUUUGUCUGCCCCGAAUUCCCAACCAGAUAAUCGGCAGCCAAGCUCCCGAAGUUUCUCCUAAUGUCUACACUAAGAAAUCAUAUAAUGGCGUGGUUUCUGUGGAUUGCAGGGGAGAUGGGAUAAGGUUCAGAGACUAUAAUCAUCUGGGCGCAAGCUUAAGGAAUAGUCCAUUCCCCCCAGUGAUGGGGCUACCGGAAGUGGGAGGGAGUAGCUCCCCUCUGAGGCACGGUAGGCACAGCGACCGGGGAAGUUGAUCCCUCUCUGGUCAAAGUGUGGUAGCAAAGGCCAGCACCCGCGAAACCACUGGAUCCGCGGGGAAAGUCGGGGAUAAACCCUCGGCUAGUCGAGCCUCUAUCAAGCAUGUUAGGGGAACAACUCGGCGACAUCAUCAAAUUGCGGGAAGUUCCUAAAGCUCUUACAACCAACCACGCGCCGAAAGGCGGAAAAAUCUCGGACUACGAUCUCAUUUAUGCUCUCGGGCAUUGGGGGAGUCGCGAGCGUGGGGCCAGGGUAAUGACCUCGGGUAUGGUAAAAUCGUAAGAGAUAGGUGAUUUGCGGGGGCAACCCCUCUUUUCCUAACCUAAUGGAUAAUCCGCAGCCAAGCUCGUUAAGGUACUUGCUAGUAUGCCCUGUUAGGGCUGCUACCUGAGACCACGGGUGCAGUUCAGAGACUAAAUGGUGAUGGGCAUCCCGGAUUUAUUCGGGUUGCCUAAGAUAUAGUCCGUCCACUGUGAAAGCAGGCCUUUCGAUAAAGGGGGAACAUGCACCCCCCCGAGCGAAGGGGACAGGGCACCUUCGGGGGCCUUGUUGGAGUUUUUUCUGGUUGGUGUCUAUGCAAGGGUAAGCAAGUAAUCGGUCUGACGUCCCACAAUUCCAAAUUUCAAUAACCAUCACAAGACGUUAAACUGUGAGAUGGACAAAGGCAAGCGCAGUGCACAAGAGGAAGGCAACAAACCUGGGAAAAAGACAAAGACUGAUGAAAACAAACCUAAGCGUAACAAAGGAUUCUGGAUGUGCUUGGAAAAUGGCUCAGGCUCCGCCACAGGGAAGGCAGCGAACACGGUUCCACGAACCGCCGAGCAGUUUACCCUAUAUGUGGUUAGGAAAUCUUGCUCUAACUACUUGCGAUUGAGCACGGAUGCGGAUGGGCACUUGUUGGCAGGGCAAAUCGAAAGCUUGAAGGCGUAUAGGGUCAUGUUAUUCAUGUACGAUUUAUUCGACCAGGCCAGGGAUGACUUGCGUUUGGUAAUGGAGAAUCAUGACCUGAUAGCGGCAGGGAGGUUAAGGCAAGUGUUACUUAGACAAAAAGACAGCAAUAUGCAGGUACGUCGCACGUGCUCUGCUGGGAACGCACACCAGAAGGAGAGCUGUUGCCAUCUGGACCAUCUGGCCUGGGGUAACCAGACGGAUAAUGAAAUCGACAAAUACUUCGCUUACUUUCUGUUUGCAAAGGUGCCAGCUGUUCAAUCGGCAGCUAUUACCGCUUUUGGUGAUGGUGGUAUCCUUCGUCAGGCUUUUGUAGCUCACUAUGGCGACAUUCCAAGCAAUAAACAUUCACAAUUCACGGAAUUUGUAAAUAGGCACUAUAAAGAAUAAAAACACGGUAAUUCCAGCUCUAAUAGCAUACGUUAAAGUUGUUGCGGUUAAAACGCUCGUAGUCGGCUUAAGAUCAUCAGAAGCUUGCGAUGGAACCCUGGAUGCUGCCUUCAAUGGUGCUCUGGGCGACUGACAAAGGCUGGCGGUGAUCAAGCGUGCCUUAGGCUGUAUCUUCGGAUUCACAGGGUCUGGGUUCGCCCGGAUUCGGCUUGGGGUGCCACUUACCAUGAUCAAACCGGCUCGAUCAAGAAAGGUCACGACGAUCUUGCACGGCUUAGCAUGGAAUAAGUUAAACUGGCCCGGGAUCCUCGCGGAUCCUGGGUUGGUAGAAGCAAAAGGGGUGUUCGAGGGUGACCGAAUUGCUGGGCGAGUGGUGAAAUACGUUGACCCUGGCAAGUCACCAAAGGCGAAAGCAGUCAUCAAGGGCAUUCCCGUUGAUCAAGAGCGAAAGUUAAGGGUUCGAAGACGAUUUGACACAGAUCUGGUCGUCAAAAGUGGUGCUCCCUGCCCUAAAAAGCGGGGGUAAAAGCAUUGCUAGUCUUAGACUAAAGGGAGCAUCAGCACGUUAGUAUGACGAAGGGCACGGAGUCAGAAGGCUGUUGAUCGGGGAUACUGUACUAGUAGGAUCGAGGGCACUUGGUUCGGACGUACUUUAUUCUAAUCUCCUUGGGUUUAGGGCGACACUAUCAAAUUGCGGGAAUAUCCUAAAGCUAACACUACCAACCACGCGCCGAAAGGCGGAAAAAUCUCGGACUACGAUCCCAUUUAUGCUCUCGGGCAUUGGGGGAGUCGCGAGCGUGGGGCCAGGGCAAUGACCUCGGGUACGGUAAAAACGUGUUAGAUUCGGUGAUCCAGGCUAACCCCGUUAAAUUGGGGCCUGUUUCCUAAGCCGUAAUGGACAACCUGCAGCCAAGCUCCUUAAACGGUUAACAACAACCACUGGCUUCCGGGCUAAGUGCGGGGUUGGGGAUUAGCUAACCACAGAACACCAAUGGUCCGGAGGGAUCGGCAUCUGUGAGUGUAUAGGCGUCUUAACCAGGGGUGCAGUUCACAGACUAAAUGGUAGUGGGCGGUGAUGUCCGGGGAAACCUGGGUUGAUCUGCUUAAGAUAUAGUCGAUCCCCUUUGGAAACUUAGGGGGGGGAAUGCAGAUACCGUCGUAGUCUUAACUAUAAAUGAUACUGACCAGAGAUAGGAUUCUGUCCAUCUCGACUUCUCCUGGAUCUUAGGGAAACUAUAGUCUUUGAGUUCUGGGGGGAGUAUGGUCGCAAGGCUGAAACUUAGGCGAACACAAGGUGAUUCUAUUGGGUUUUAAAAGUCGGCUAAAAGUGCCCGGCUAGUCCGGUCUCUUUUCUUUGGCGCAAGCUGGGGAGGGGGGACUACCGGUAAAUUGAUACUGGUUUCGAGGGCAACACUGUCAAAUUGCGGGGAGUCCCUAAAGCAUGUGCUACCAACUGCGCGGUUAAUAGCCGGAAAAAUCAGGAGUAUUGAUCCCUUAACGGGGGGAACUGCCUGCGCAGGGCCGGGGUAAUGUCCUAGGAUAUGGUAAAAACGCACGUGAUGAGGAUCCGAGACUAGCCUCUCGGGUCCGUUGAAAUGGGUAAUCCGCAGCCAAGCUCGUUAAGGUACUUGCUAGUAUGCCCUGUUAGGGCUGCUACCUGAGACCACGAGUGCAGUUCACAGGCCAAAUGUCAGUGGGCUCCGCAAGGGGCAUAAGAUAUGGUCGGCCCCCCUGGGAAACCAGGGGGAACAAGCGUAAAGGAAUUGACGGAAGGGCACACAAAGAGUAAGGCUUCGGUUUCGCUCUUAAAAGGUGGGGGGUCCAAGUAGUGCAUGGACAUUCCAACCCCUGUCUAGUCGGCGUAAAAAACCGGCGACACUGUCAAAUUGCGGGAAAACCCUAAAGCUUUUGGUACUAAGCAUCUUUCGAAAGGGGGAUGUGGCGUUCAGGAAACGGUAUAGUAAUAAUCCAAAAGAUGCAACAAUGGGCAAUCCGCAGCCAAGCCCGUACGGGAGGAUUAGUAGGAUGCGGGGGGACCCCAUCCGAAUCCCUUCCCAGGGUGCAGUUCAGAGACUAAACGGCAGUGGGUGGUAACCUGUAAACCCGGGGUAACCUGGGAAUGUGGGGGUCUGCUUAAGAUAGAGUCCAGCCCCUGGCGAAAGUUGGGGGGGUUAGCUGGGAACCUGCGGCUUAACAAUUAGGCCACAAGAGUCAGCGGUGAACGCAAGUUUGCUGUAUUACUGGCUAGUCGACCAUCUACAACAGGGCUGAGUGGGUGGCGGCGAGACAACCUGGUACGGGGGAACAUCCAAAAGGCCAUUCACAGCCUUAGGGUCAAUCCCGUGGUGAGCUUGUACUGAGCAAUUGGUAUAAAGCCAUCGUAACGCGCGGAAAGGUGUCGGGGGUCCCUCUGGGAUCCCUUAAGGUACGUGCUACUCCCAUCCGUAAGGAUGCUUUGGACUGGAACUCUCAGCCAGUAAAGGCCCAAAAAACCAUUGAAACUCGGGGGAAAUCCCGGGUCGAGGUUUGGUAGGGAUUUGACGCGGAUGCACGUAAAAAUGUGUCCGUGUUGAACCAAGGUAAUUUGACUCAACACGGGAAAACUCACCAGGUCCAGAUACACGUAUGAAAGACAAGCUGAAAGACUUUUCUCAAUGAUGUAAGUGGUGGUGCAUGGUCGUUAACUAAGUAGCGACAAAAAGUGCCUAUGAAAGUAGGUGCUAGUGGGGGCAGGUCCGUUUUGGUUAGGGCCUGUUUCUGCGACAUUGCCAAAUUGCGGGGAAGCCCUUAGAGCCCUUCCUACCAAGCAUUGAACGAAAGUUCCUUGUGGCCCCGGAGAAAGACCGGGGGUAUGGUAAAAACGGAAGGGAUUGGGUUAUCCGCAGCCAAGCCCGUACGGGAAGAUUAGUAUGAUGUGGGGGGACCCCAUCAGAAUCCUCUUUCUAGGGUGCAGUUCAACGACUAAACGGCAGUGGGCGAUGAUUACCGGCUUUUUCGGUUGGUUUUUGUUGCUUAAGAUAGAGUCUUGCCCCACCGAAAGGUGGCUGUGGGAGGAAAGGGAUCAACCAUCCCCGGAACUCACGGAUAAUGGAUUAUUAAUUUAAGCCAUUUGGAACAACAGUCUUAGUUCGUGGAUUGAUUUGUCUGGUCUAUUCCGAUAACGAGCGAGACCCCUCCGUUCCUACUAGGGGUGGCAGCCCGGCUCGCACCCUCACGGGAGCUUGCUAGCAGCUACUUAAGAUUUACUUCUUAGACGUAUCAGAGCCGAUAAGGUUCUUGAAAUGGGUUAAUAACAGGUUGGGAAUGUGCAAAAAAUUCGAGUAAAUAUCACACUAUGGCGAGCGAAAUCCACUAUUAUCAAUGGACUACAUUGCGGCAAGCAUCCGAGGACAAGGCAGGCAACUGGGCGCUUCUCCAAAACGGUUACUCCACUAUUCCAGAAGUAUUCAAAGAGCGAUACCAUCAAAUUCUCCAAAUGGGUAAAAAAGUAUACAAGCAUCCCUUAAACGCUGGGGACCCUGAUAUUAUGUGCUUAUAUCCGACGAAGGCAUCCAAACAAACUGAGCUACUGAAGACAAAUGCGGAAGGGUACGUGCAAAUGUGUUUAUCAACAAAAAAUGACAAGCAAUUCCAUAUUAAAGCCCAUCACUUGAUGUGGUUUGGGUUCAAGGGUUUUGAUCUGUCUGUUCUUACCCCUGAACCCGGGUCUUUGUGCACGUGGCAUCUCAGUCACCUCUGCCAUGAUCCGCGAUGCUGCGAGCCAACACAUCUUAGCCGUGAACCAGAUUGGAUAAACAUUCGCCGGAGGGGAUGUGCCAUAGUUGGAUGUUCGUGCGACAUUGAGGGGUACCCGAAGUGUAUUAGCUUACCAAUUUCAUCAUACAAUACCAUAAAUCCUCGGAUAGAGAAAGCAAGGGCGAUACUGACAAGGCUGUGGACGUUCGGAAACACCGGAAGCGACGAGGACUCGGAUGCGUAAGUUGUAGUGUGUGAUACAAGGAAAAAAAUAUUCCCACAAUUUUGUGGCAAGCACUGGCCUGUAACAGUCAGUUUGAGAAACUGGCUAGUGGUGACUGCUCUGAGCAGUUGCUGCGACACCUUCAAAUUGCUAGAACACCCUAAAGGCAUCACUACCAACCUUGGUCCGAAAGGGCUGGGGGGCCCAACUCAAUGGGAGGUGACAACGUGAUGUAUAGACGUGUCUUUCGGGGCACUGAAAAUGGGCAACCAGCAGCCAAGUCCUAACGUGGGCAACAGCAAUGUUCCUGCCACGGAUGCAGUUCACAGACUAAAUGUAGGUGGGGUUACGCUGUAGCCCGGUUCUGAAUCAAUAAGGGACCGGGUGAGUGACCAUAAGAUAUAGUCGGGCCCCCAGCGAAAGUUGGGGGAUAAAAAGCAGUCAUGCCCUUAGAUGUUCUGGGCCGCACGCGCGUUACAAUGGCAUGAAUAAAAAGUGCCUAAAAGGGCGUAUCCGGGGCCUACAGGCUCUGGUAACCCUUAGUCCCUGCCUUGACUGGGACAGACUAUUGCAAUUAUUGGUCUCAAACGAGGAAUUUUUAGUAGUCGUAGGUCAUUAACCUGCGACGAAUGCGUCCCUGCCCUGAUAGCGAAGGUGUUUUCGGAAAAGUACCGGGUUUUUUCGGACUGGCCGGCGGGCCGGGUUGAUGAAGAGAUCCUGAAAUUUCGGGGAUGCCGUGGUUGACUAAGAAAGUACUGUGAAUCCGUACUGGCCGGCGGGCCGGGUUGAUGGGGAAGCGGGAAAUCCUGGGAUACUAGACCUUAGGGGUAAAAAGGGGGUCAGCUAAUAACUGCCCCCUAGUCCGGCCGGCCUCUCACGGGGUUGGUCUCUCUGAACUGACAGGGAUUUACGGGCGACACUAACAAAUAGCGGGGAGUCUCACGAAUAGCAUCGGCUACCAAGUCCUUUUUUUGAAAAGAAAUCGGAUGGCCUCGGAUAAUGCCCGAGGGUACGGUAACAACGCCAGUGUAACGGGAUAACCUGCGGCCAAGCCCGUACCGGAUCUUCGCAAGAUCCCAGGGUGCAGCUACCAGAUCAAACGUUAGUGGGUGAGUUCCCUGAAUUUCAGGGGGCUUGCUUAAGAUAUGAUCGAACGGGUCCCUAGGCAUGGUCCAUAAAAACUGCCGGAAUCGAACGGGAAAAGAAGACAAACACUCCCGGGGAAUCCCCGGGAGUAGGAUGCGGGAAAAGAAGACCAAAACUCCCGGGGAAACCCGGGAGUAGGAGGGGAAAAAAGCAAAACCAAUCGGCGGAUGCCCUAAUAUUGUUGUACACACCGCCCGUCGCUGCUACCGAUUGGGUUUUGCGGUUACGAGUUCGGAAGAUGUGGCUCCCUGCCUGCCUUCGGGUAGGUAGUAACUAUGACUAAAGUUCUAAUUACCGCACGGCCUAGAGGAAGCAGAAGUCGUAACAAGGUAAUCG